rnacentral:lncRNA from 1 species
UUCAAGAGUAGAAAGAGAGAAAUGAGGACCACUGACUGAUGAGAGAAUUGUCUUACUGAGAUGAGGAUGAGCCUGCCUCAAGCCAUCGUAAGCUGGGAGGACCGAUGAUGGACUGACACCGCCUGCUGGCCUGGCCAUUACUGAUUCUUGAGGACAUGAGGACCACCAAGCUUGGACGAGACUGGACAAUGACGAAGCUGCUCUACUGAACAAGGAUGCCCUCAUCGGAAACUUGAGUUAAAAAAACUAGCUUGCACAAUAUGAAAUGAUAAAUCAGACUGCAUAAUGCAACGUCAUUAAUGUUAUACAUUAAGGCAACAACACUAAAAUAAAAUGAAAACUAAUUUUGAUUUCAUUAAAUUAUUUAUGCCUCUAAAAUAAUCUUAAACCGGAUACUGCAACAGACAGUUAACAAUGGACAAUAAUGGAAACUUGCUGAAAAAUUAUUGUAAAGUUAAUAAUUUGUCACUGGCUUUUUAGCAGUGACAUGUCUGGGAGAAGGGAUGUUCCUUUGAUCUGUCCUGGGUCAUCCAAAAUUAUUGCAUCUUUAAGUUAAUAAUUUAAUUUAAUUUCAUACUCCUUACCUUUAAUGCAUUCAAUUGGAUCUUCUCGGUAAAUUAUUAACGAGGUCUCGCCUAAGGCUUUCUAUCAGCUUUUUGUUCAGUUGACAAUGGAGAAUUUUGCUCUAUAAAUUUAAUUUGAUAUUGAAAGUGCAUUUUUAAGAAAACCAAUUUAAGUAAUAAGAGUUUUGAAAGAUUUCAAAAAAGAUUAAUUUAUUGUUUAAAAACUGAAGAAAUGUAACAAACUUUAUUUAAAUUGAACGUUUUUAACAAGACGUUGAUUUAACUAAAACGUGACUUCCUUUCCAUUGUAUAUUUAUUAGAAAACACAAGAACGUUUAAUUUUUAGGAAAAUUUAAAGAUAAACUGUUCAGGAACUUCUAUCCAUCAAAAUGCAUCGCAACAGGUAUAAGUGACACUCAAAUUACAUUUGCGUUUGUCCUUUUGUGAUUUAUUUCAUUGCACUUUUUUUUAC